UGCAUAUCAAUAAGCGGAGGAAAAGCCGUCUUGAAACACGGACCAUGCAUAUCAAUAAGCGCGGAGGAAAAGCCGUCUUGAAACACGGACCAUGCAUAUCAAUAAGCGGAGGAAAAGCCGUCUUGAAACACGGACCAUGCAUAUCAAUAAGCGGAGGAAAAGAAACCAACAGGGAUUGCCUCAGUAGCGGCGAGUGAAGCGGCAAGAGCUCAGAUUUGAAAUCGUGCUUUGCGGCACGAGUUGUAGAUUGCAGGUUGGAGUCUGUGUGGAAGGCGGUGUCCAAGUCCCUUGGAACAGGGCGCCCAGGAGGGUGAGAGCCCCGUGGGAUGCCGGCGGAAGCAGUGAGGCCCUUCUGACGAGUCGAGUUGUUUGGGAAUA
rnacentral:rRNA from 1 species